rnacentral:rRNA from 1 species
GGGUUGUGAGGUUAAGCGACUAAGCGUACACGGUGGAUGCCCUGGCAGUCAGAGGCGAUGAAGGGCGUGCUAAUCUGCGAUAAGCGCCGGUAAGGUGAUAUGAACCGUUAUAACCGGCGAUACCCGAAUGGGGAAACCCAGUGUGACUCGUCACACUAUCAUUAACUGAAUCCAUAGGUUAAUGAGGCGAACCGGGGGAACUGAAACAUCUAAGUACCCCGAGGAAAAGAAAUCAACCGAGAUUCCCCCAGUAGCGGCGAGCGAACGGGGAGGAGCCCAGAGCCUGAAUCAGCAUGUGUGUUAGUGGAAGCGUCUGGAAAGGCGCGCGAUACAGGGUGACAGCCCCGUACACAAAAGCGCAUGUGCUGUGAGCUCGAUGAGUAGGGCGGGACACGUGGUAUCCUGUCUGAAUAUGGGGGGACCAUCCUCCAAGGCUAAAUACUCCUGACUGACCGAUAGUGAACCAGUACCGUG